rnacentral:rRNA from 1 species
GUGCCAGCCGCCGCGGUAAUACGUAGGGGGCAAGCGUUGUCCGGAUUUAUUGGGCGUAAAGCGCGCGUAGGCGGAACGUUAAGUCUGGUCUGAAAGCCCCCGGCUCAACCGGGGAAGGUGGCUGGAAACUGGCGUUCUUGAGGGCGAGAGAGGAGAGCGGAAUUCCUGGUGUAGCGGUGAAAUGCGUAGAUAUCAGGAGGAACACCCAUGGCGCAGGCAGCUCUCUGGGUCGGCCCUGACGCUGAGGCGCGAAAGCGUGGGGAGCGAACGGGAUUAGAUACCCCCGUAGUCC